CAGGAUUUCCCACAGCUGCUGCCAGAACAAGCAUUUAAUGCUGUGGUGAGCAAUCAGCUCCCAUUUAAAAAGCUCCAUGCAAGCAAUGCAAGUCUCCUGUGUCAACAGCUGAACCAUCCCACUGGUAGGUGCCUCUUGCUCAUUGAAAGACGUUUCUAUUGCAAUGGGUCUGACUUCAGUUUCUGGCUUCCAUUGUGCCUUUGGCUGCUGUGCACCACAAGGAGCUUUCUCACAUCUGUUUCUUCUGGAGUAUCAUCUCUCCUAGCCUUACUGUUUUUGAUCACAGUGCAGUGAGCUGCCUUACUCCCUGGCAGCAAGGUAGGUUUCAGGCAGGUGAGGUCAUCCCUGCUGCUCCUUUCUGCUUCUUCCCCAGUUCCUUUUCAUCCUUGAUGUACUUUGCAUUGAGCAUGUGGCUCAUUGUUUUUUAUCAGGCUUUGUGAGGGGUGUUAAUCUGCCCAAGGCUGUGCUCAUUUAACUGGAACGUGUGUGGUGUCUGCAGGAAAUGCCCCCAGAUGCAGCAUGAUGAGAUUUUCCCUUGCUCUCAGGGCUUUGCUCUGCCAGUGCUUUUGUGACAUAUUUAUCUGAUCCACAUCAGCAUCCCCUCGUGGGUUUGCCCUAGCUCAAUCCCACUGACACCUGGCUUUGUUACAUGGCUCUCUAAUCACUGAUCUGCACGGAAACAAGUUUCCAAAUUGCCCGUUUUUGCUUGAGGAGGUUUCAUUUAAGCACCUGAGGGAUAUGACUGGUUAGGAGAGGAUAGGGCUGAUGUGUAUUUGGGUAACUAAUUAUAUUUCUAUUAUCGUAUGUGAACAGAGAGAUUCCUUCAUUGCUGAGGCACUUCACUGGAGAAUAACUGAGACCCUUUUCCUAAGCCAGGAGACUGUUACAGAUCCUGCUAGCUGGGACUGAAACUCAUUAUUUCAAGGCAAAGUGUCAGCGUGUGGAAAAGCAUGGCCACUCUUAGCUUGCAGGCACAUAGACUAUGACCAAAAGAACCCAAUUUAACUGCAGUUUGUGCACCAUAUGUGAUUUCACUAGGAGUAGAUGAGGACUUGAGCUGCUUCACUGUGUUUUCACUCACCAUCAGGAUCUGCAGGAGCCAAGAGAGCAUUUACUGGGGAUAAUUUUCAACAAUCUCCUGUAAUGCUCACAUGCCAGAUCUGCAGGGAUGCAGGACCCAGCUUGGCAUCGGGCUCCAAAAAAGCUGGCUGGCUACCUUCCCUCAAGAUCGUUCACCCAGUGACAGUGAGCUGGCAGCAACUUCCCAGAUUGACUUGUAGCCUGACCUGAAGCUUUCUUCCUGCCCAAGGUGAAAGAAGAAGGAAGAGCAUCUAUGUUUUAUUGAGAAUAGGUUUCUUUGGCAAGGUUGGUCUAAAUCAGUGGGCAUGUUGGUAUAGUCUGGCUAUUUCUUAUGUAAAAUGAAUUUGUGAGUUUGGGUGCUAAAAGAGAGACGACUUCUACUCUAGAAAAGGAAAUAAUGCAGCCAGAUUAGCUCGAGGAAUGUGGCAGUCUUCUCUUCUUCUCCGGACAAGCUAUGGCAGUGCAGUCCAACCAGCCACUCCAAGGAUGCUGUUGGUGACCACAUGCUGCCAUGGGGCCACUGUGCAUUGCCUCACAGCAGCUCUGCUCGGGCCUGGAUCCAUUGCCAUUCCUGCAGGAAUCUCUCUCUUUUCUUCAAAACCAGAGCCCGUGUCGGGAAGUGUUCAGGAAACAGGGGCAACUUCGGUCCUUUCUUUUCUGGGCAGCGUUAACAGCUCCACAGCCCAAAGAAUUUGUCUUGCAAUCCCCUCUGUGGCUCAGCUUUCAAUUCUCUAUUCAACCAGCAUGAAUGAAACGAAGCCUUUAUUUGCAUUCUCUUCAAAUUGCCCUUCACCGCUAGCAUGAGACCUUUGGAAGUUUGUUGCAGGGAACAGCAGAGCCAAGAUAUUUGAGCUGGGCAUGAUGCCCCACCGCUACUGCAAAAAAUAAAAUAAAAAAAAUCACUUCAAAGCAACUGCUGAGUCAGAAAAAAACAGGGCUUGGAUGCAUUCACUUCCCAAAGAUCACAAUGCAAAGCCCCAGUGGGAGGAGGAGCAAGGAGGGAGGUCAAUGGAAGCGGCAUUCCCUGUCCCUGAGUCACUUCUGCUUCAGGAAUUUGGGAGAUCUGGCUUCUCCACAGCACAUCUGCUGGCACAGGGGGCUUUAUAAAGAAAUGCUGC
ensembl:lncRNA